GUGAACUAGUACCGCGAGGGAAAGGUGAAAAGCACCCCUGUUAGGGGAGUGAAAUAGUAACUGAAAUCAAUUGCUAACAAGUCAGUGGGAGCUCCCUUUAUUGUGGGGUGACCGCCUGCCUUUUGUAUAAUGAGUCUGCGAGUUAUUGCCCGUAGCAAGCUUAAGCCGGUUCCCGGCGAAAGCGCAGCGAAAGCAAGUCCAAAUAGGGC
rnacentral:rRNA from 1 species